rnacentral:rRNA from 1 species
AUUGAACGCUGGCGGCAGGCUUAACACAUGCAAGUCGAGCGAGCGGCGGACGGGUGAGUAAUGUCUGGGAAACUGCCUGAUGGAGGGGGAUAACUACUGGAAACGGUAGCUAAUACCGCAUACCAUCAGAUGUGCCCAGAUGGGAUUAGCUAGGAGGUGGGGUAAUGGCUCACCUGGGCGACGAUCCCUAGCUGUUCUGAGAGGAUGACCGGCCACACGGGAACGGAGACCAGGUCCAGACUCCUACGGGAGGAAGCAGUGGGGAUGAUUGCACAAUGGGCGCAAGCCGGAUGAAGCCAGGCCGCGUGUGUGAAGAAGGCCUUCGGGUUGUAAACCACGUUCAGCGAGGAGGCGGUACUCGCAGAAGAAGCACCGGCUAACUCCGUGCCAGCAGCCGCGGUAAUAC